GCCCGGGUGGUCUAGUGGGUUAGUUCUUCCUGUUCUCUGAUCAUCUCGAUCUAUCUUUACUAAUAAAAUCACAGUAUGAUUCUCGCUUAGGGUUCACCCUUAGCAUAUAUGCGAGAGGUCCCGCGUUCGAUCCGCGGCUCGGGCC